rnacentral:rRNA from 1 species
UUUGAUCCUGGCUCAGACGAACGCUGGCGGCGUGCCUAAUACAUGCAAGUAGAACGCUGAAGGAGGGGCUUGCUCUUCUGGAUGAGUUGCGAACGGGUGAGUAACGCGUAGGUAACCUGCCUGGUAGCGGGGGAUAACUAUUGGAAACGAUAGCUAAUACCGCAUAACAGUAGAUGUUGCAUGACAUUUGCUUAAAAGGUGCAAUUGCAUCACUACCAGAUGGACCUGCGUUGUAUUAGCUAGUUGGUGGGGUAACGGCUCACCAAGGCGACGAUACAUAGCCGACCUGAGAGGGUGAUCGGCCACACUGGGACUGAGACACGGCCCAGACUCCUACGGGAGGCAGCAGUAGGGAAUCUUCGGCAAUGGACGGAAGUCUGACCGAGCAACGCCGCGUGAGUGAAGAAGGUUUUCGGAUCGUAAAGCUCUGUUGUAAGAGAAGAACGAGUGUGAGAGUGGAAAGUUCACACUGUGACGGUAUCUUACCAGAAAGGGACGGCUAACUACGUGCCAGCAGCCGCGGUAAUACGUAGGUCCCGAGCGUUGUCCGGAUUUAUUGGGCGUAAAGCGAGCGCAGGCGGUUAGAUAAGUCUGAAGUUAAAGGCUGUGGCUUAACCAUAGUACGCUUUGGAAACUGUUUAACUUGAGUGCAAGAGGGGAGAGUGGAAUUCCAUGUGUAGCGGUGAAAUGCGUAGAUAUAUGGAGGAACACCGGUGGCGAAAGCGGCUCUCUGGCUUGUAACUGACGCUGAGGCUCGAAAGCGUGGGGAGCAAACAGGAUUA